rnacentral:lncRNA from 1 species
UAGAAAUCACACAUCUCAUAUCUCAAUCUCUUUCUUCCUUCCUUUUUCUUCCUUCCUUUCUUCCUUCCUUGUCUCACGUUAUCUCUCUCUUUUUUUUUGUUACAGAUCUAAAUCUGAUAUGAUCUAAAUCUUUUUUAAUUCUUUGGAUCUCUAUCUUCCUCAAUCACCACCACCACACGACGAACCGUUUGUUUUCGCCGUCCCAGCAUCACAACCACCACCACACGACCGUUCGUUCGCCGUCCCAGCAUCACCACCACCACACAACCACAGUUAGAACUCAUCUCUCUAUCUCUCUCUCUCUGUUUUGAACUGUAUUAUUUGUUUUAGGGAUGGAGGAAGCAAGGCAAGGCAGGUAUGGCGGCUGGAGGAGGAAGAUGACGGCUUCAGAUUCAGGAAGAGGAAGCUGACGGCGAGUUGGUGAGGAGGCGACGAGAUUAGGUCUAGAUGGAUGUGACGUUUGCCUCCUCUCUGCAACUUGCCUCUCAAAUCCCAGGAUGAAGAAGAAGCAUGGCUGGAUACUAAUGAAGGUCAUGGAAAAACACGAAGACGAAGGUGGUGGUGCGGCCGGUAGAUGAAGAAGGCAACGAAGUGGUGGUGUGUUUAGUUAGUAAUUAGGUUAAAGUCCGGUUUAGUUUUUGGUUUAUUUAGUUUGUUGGUUUAUUAUUUAAUUAGAUUUUUUUUUGUAUUUUUGUAAACAAAUUUCAUUAUAGAUAAAUUUAAGUAAUAAAGAAAAUUUGAUUCUAUGAAUAAUUUUAAAUUUUAAUUAAGUUUUUAUUUUUAAAUAAUUAAAUAAUAAAUAUUUCGCGUUUGCCUCCUCUCUGCAACUUGCCUCUCAAAUCCCAGGAUGAAGAAGAAUCAUGGCUGGAUACUGAUGAAGGUCAUGGAAAAACACGAAGACGAAGGUGGUGGUGCGGCCGGUAGAUGAAGAAGACAACGAAGUGGUGGUGUGUUUAGUUAGUAAUUAGGUUAAAGCCUGGUUUAGUUUUUGGUUUAUUUAGUUUGUUGGUUUAUUAUUUAAUCUGAUUUUUUUUUUGUAUUUUUGUAAACCAAUUUAACUAUAGAUAAAUUUAAGUAAUAAAGAAAAUUUG